GACGAACGCUGGCGGCGUGCCUAAUACAUGCAAGUCGAACGCUUCUUUCCUCCCGAGUGCUUGCACUCAAUUGGAAAGAGGAGUGGCGGACGGGUGAGUAACACGUGGGUAACCUACCCAUCAGAGGGGGAUAACACUUGGAAACAGGUGCUAAUACCGCAUAACAGUUUAUGCCGCAUGGCAUAAGAGUGAAAGGCGCUUUCGGGUGUCGCUGAUGGAUGGACCCGCGGUGCAUUAGCUAGUUGGUGAGGUAACGGCUCACCAAGGCCACGAUGCAUAGCCGACCUGAGAGGGUGAUCGGCCGCACUGGGACUGAGACACGGCCCAGACUCCUACGGGAGGCAGCAGUAGGGAAUCUUCGGCAAUGGACGAAAGUCUGACCGAGCAACGCCGCGUGAGUGAAGAAGGUUUUCGGAUCGUAAAACUCUGUUGUUAGAGAAGAACAAGGACGUUAGUAACUGAACGUCCCCUGACGGUAUCUAACCAGAAAGCCACGGCUAACUACGUG
rnacentral:rRNA from 1 species